UCACAUCAAUCAAAUCAUACACUAAUUCUCACAAACUUUACUCUCAAAUCCAAUCUCAAUUACCCACAAAUCCACUCAAAAAACAACAAUAAAAUUACCCUCAAAUCCACUCAAAUUCAUUCAAAUCAUCUCCCCCAAAUCAUCACCCAUAAAUGAGUAAUUCUCCCUACACCUCACCUCAUUCUCCGUGCACCUCCUAAUUUUG
rnacentral:lncRNA from 1 species